rnacentral:rRNA from 1 species
CGGCCAGACUCCUACGGGAGGCAGCAGUGGGGAAUAUUGCACAAUGGGGGAAACCCUGAUGCAGCAACGCCGCGUGGGUGAAGGAGCGUUUCGGCGCGUAAAGCCCUGUCAGCGGGGAAGAAGAAAGACGGUACCCGACCAAGAAGCCCCGGCUAACUACGUGCCAGCAGCCGCGGUAAUACGGAGGGUGCAAGCGUUACUCGGAAUCACUGGGCGUAAAGAGCGCGUAGGCGGGAUAGCAAGUCUGAUGUGAAAGGCCAGGGCUCAACCCUGGGACUGCAUUGGAAACUGUUUAACUGGAGUGUCGGAGAGGCAAGUGGAAUUCCUAGUGUAGCGGUGAAAUGCGUAGAUAUUAGGAGGAACACCAGUGGCGAAGGCGGCUUGCUGGACGAUGACUGACGCUGAGGCUCGAAAGCGUGGGGAGCAAACAGGAUUAGAUACCCUUGUA